AGCGGCGCCGAUAGCCAGGGCGAGAGAAGCGGCGGCAGCAGGGCUCUAGACUGCCUCUCUCCCCCUGCCUUUCCUGGGGGCUUCUGCGGGGUAAGAUACAGUGUAUCGGGGUAUAUACAUGCGCGCACACACGCACCCUCAUUUUACCAAGGAUAUUUGGGUAAAAACUUUUUUUUUUUUUUACCCAAAUAUCCUUGGUAAAAUGAGGGUGCGUGUUAUAGGCCGGUGCGGGGUAUACCCCGAUAAAUACGGUAUUUUGUAUAUAACUUUGCAUCAUGAUCUCAAAGGCUGAAGAAAACAAAAAUCUUGGAAUACCCCUUUAAAUCCUGUGAGGUAUGACCUCCUCUAUGGGUUGGGAUAGCAGCACAUCUUACAGAUAAUUGAUCAAAUAGAGACAUAUGGCCAAUUCAACACUUUUUAUCUUGUUCCUCAAACCAUUCCUAAUAGUUUUUCAAGUUUGUCAGGGCCCAUUUUCUGCUGCAAAGAAACCAUUGCAAUUAGGUGUGUACUUGGUCUGCAACAAUGUUUGGGUAGGUGGUACAUGUCAAAGUAACAUGUUUUCCUAACAGAACAUUGCCUGGAACAUCACAGUACCUCUGCCCAGUUUGUCUUCUCCCAUUUGUGCAUCCUGAAGCCAUGGGUUUCCCAGCUCUCAACUGUUCCUGCUGUGACCAGUUCCUGAGGUAGACUGUUCCACACAUUUACAGUUCUUAUGGUAAAGAAGUAUUGUCGUCCCAAGUCUAAACCUUUUUUCCUCCAGACCAAAGCAGUGUCCCCUUGUCUUUUGAGGGAGUUUUAACUGGAACAGUUUGGUGUUUCUGUUAUGGUUUUAAAACCACCUUAUUUUUGGUUUUCAUUAUUUUAACCAUGUGAAGUAAAUUUUGGACUUUUAUAUAUAUAUUUUUGGGAGCUGGAACCUGCAUGUUUUUUGUUAAAGACCUGUUCACACCAGAUAUGCAGCUUGGAUACCAGAUCGGUGCUUCCUAAAACAUCAGAAGUUCUUCCAAUCUAGAGUGUCUACAAGGCGGGGAAAAUGCUGUUAAACGCCCUCCUUACAAUCAUGCUUCUUCUUUACAAUGCGUACAGCCCUAAG